rnacentral:rRNA from 1 species
AGUGAACGCUGGCGGCAGGCCUAACACAUGCAAGUCGAACGGCAGCACAGUAAGAGCUGGUUCUUACGGGUGGCGAGUGGCGGACGGGGGAGGAAUACACCGGAAUCUACUUUUUCGUGGGGGAUAACGCAGGGAAACUUACGCUAAUACCGCAUACGACCUACGGGUGAAAGCAGGGGAUCUUCUGACCUGUCGCGAUUGAAUGAGCCGAUGUCGGAUUAGCUAGUUGGCGGGGUAGAGGCCCACCCAGGCGACGAUCCGUAGCUGGUCUGAGAGGAUGAUCAGCCACACUGGCACUGAGACACGGUCCAGACUCCUACGGGAGGCAGCGGUGGGGAAUAUUGGACGAUGGGCGCAAGCCUGAUCCAGCCCUACCGCGUGGGUGAAGAAGGCCUUCGGGUUGUAGAGCGCUUUUGUUGGGAGAGAAAAGCAGCAGGUUAAUACCGCGCUGUUCUGACGGUACCGAAAGAAUAAGCACCGGCUAACUUCGUG